UGGGGGAUAUUGCACAAUGGGCGAAAGCCUGAUGCAGCGACGCCGCGUGGGGGAUGAAGGCUUUCGGGUUGUAAACCUCUUUCGCUAUCGAACAAGGCCCGCUUAGGGUGGGUUGAGGGUAGGUGGAGAAGAAGCGCCGGCUAACUACGUGCCAGCAGCCGCGGUAAUACGUAGGGCGCGAGCGUUGUCCGGAAUUAUUGGGCGUAAAGGGCUUGUAGGCGGCUUGUUGCGCCUGCUGUGAAAACGCGGGGCUUAACUUCGCGCGUGCAGUGGGUACGGGCAGGCUUGAGUGUGGUAGGGGUGACUGGAAUUCCAGGUGUAGCGGUGGAAUGCGCAGAUAUCUGGAGGAACACCGAUGGCGAAGGCAGGUCACUGGGCCAUUACUGACGCUGAGGAGCGAAAGCAUGGAUAGCGAACAGG
rnacentral:rRNA from 1 species